GUGUGUCAGUAUAUCUGUUAAUGUAUGUGUCUGUGUAUGUAUGUAUGUAUGUAUGUAUGUAUGUCUGUGUGUGUGUCAGUAUGUCUGCCAGUAUAUAUUUGUGUGUAGUGACUGUGUGUGUCAGUAUGUAUCUGUGAAUGUUUUAAUGUCUGUCUGUGUGUGUAUGUGCCAGUACAUCUGUCAGUGUGAUUGCGGGUUGGACGUAAUUGGGGGGUGAGGCAGCGG